rnacentral:rRNA from 1 species
UACGAAGGGGGCGAGCGUUGUUCGGAUUUACUGGGCGUAAAGGGCGCGCAGGCGGCUUUGUUUGUCAGGCGUGAAAGCCCCGGGCUUAACCUGGGAACUGCGUUUGAUACGGCAGGGCUAGAGUUCGGGAGAGGAGAGUGGAAUUCCCAGUGUAGAGGUGAAAUUCGUAGAUAUUGGGAAGAACACCGGUGGCGAAGGCGGCUCUCUGGGACGGUACUGACACUGAGACGCGAAAGCGUGGGGAGCGAACAGG